AUUGAACGCUGGCGGGAGGCCUAACACAUGCAAGUCGAACGAGUGGCGGACGGGUGAGUAAUGUAUGGGAAAGUGCCCGAUGGAGGGGGAUAACUACUGGAAACGGUGGCUAAUACCGCAUACCAUCGGAUGUGCCGAGAUGGGAUUAGCUAGUUGGUGGGGUAAAGGCUCACCUAGGCGACGAUCCCUAGCUGGUUUGAGAGGAUGACCAGCCACACUGGGACUGAGACACGGCCCAGACUCCUACGGGAGGCAGCAGUGGGGAAUAUUGCACAAUGGGCGCAAGCCUGAUGCAGCCAUGCCGCGUGUAUGAAGAAGGCCUUCGGGUUGUAAAGUACUUUCAGCGAGGAGGCGUUACUCGCAGAAUAAGCACCGGCUAACUCCGUGCCAGCAGCCGCGGUAAUUC
rnacentral:rRNA from 1 species